rnacentral:rRNA from 1 species
UACGUAGGGUGCGAGCGUUGCCCGGAUUUAUUGGGCGUAAAGGGCGCGUAGGCGGCUCGGCACGUCCGUUGUGAAAUCGCCCGGCUCAACUGGGCGGGGUCAGCGGAUACGGUCGAGCUUGAGCAAGCUAGGGGGCAAUGGAAUUCCCGGUGUAGUGGUGGAAUGCGUAGAUAUCGGGAGGAACACCAGUGGCGAAGGCGGGUCUCUGGGCCGAUACUGACGCUGAGGAGCGAAAGCCAGGGGAGCAAACGGGGAUUAGAAACCCC